UACGUAGGGGGCAAGCGUUGUCCGGAAUCAUUGGGCGUAAAGCGCGCGUAGGCGGCUCGAUCAGUCUGCUGUAAAAGUCAAAGGCUCAACCUUUGAAUGCCGGUGGAUACUGUCGGGCUAGAGUCCGGAAGAGGCGAGUGGAAUUCCUGGUGGAGCGGUGAAAUGCGCAGAGAUCAGGAGGAACACCCGUAGCGAAGGCGGCACUCUGGGCCGAUACUGACACUGAGGAGCGAAAGCGUGGGGAGCGAACAGG
rnacentral:rRNA from 1 species